rnacentral:rRNA from 1 species
CCUACGGGUGGCUGCAGUGGGGAAUCUUGCACAAUGGGGGGAACCCUGAUGCAGCAACGCCGCGUGAGUGAAGAAGUAUUUCGGUAUGUAAAGCUCUAUCAGCAGGGAAGAAGAUGACGGUACCUGAGUAAGAAGCCCCGGCUAACUACGUGCCAGCAGCCGCGGUCUUACGUAGGGGGCAAGCGUUCUCCGGAUUUACUGGGUGUAGAGGGAGCGUAGACGGCGAGGCAAGUCUGGAGUGAAAGCCCGGGGCUCAACCCCGGGACUGCUUGGGAAACUGCCUGGCUGGAGUGCUGGAGAGGCAAGCGGAAUGCCUAGUGUAGCGGUGAAAUGCGUAGAUAUUAGGAAGAACACCAGUGGCGAAGGCGGCUUGCUGGACAGUAACUGACGUUGAGGCUCGAAAGCGUGGGGAGCAAACAGGAUUAGAUACCCUAGUAGUC